GUGCUCGCUUUGGCAGCACAUAUAUUCAAAUUGGAAGGAUAUAGAGAAGAUUAGCAUGGCCCCUGCAUAAGAAUGACAUGCAAAUUCGUGAAACGUUCCAUUUUUUU